rnacentral:sRNA from 1 species
GCUGGGCACAGUGGUCCAUGCCUGUAAUCUAGUAACUUGGGAAGCUGAGGUAGGAGAAUGGCAAGUUUGAGGCCAGCCUGGGCAACUUAGCAACACCCUGUCUCAA